rnacentral:snRNA from 1 species
AUACUAACCUGGCACAGUUGAUACCGUGAUCAAUAAGGCGGUGCUUCCGGGACGAGGUCCGACCAUUGCACUGAGGUCGGAUUGACUUCUGCGAUUACUCCAAAUGGGGUAACUCGGGUGCAUAUUUUCUGAGUGUGAGGAACUGCGUUCGCGCUUUUCCUCU